GGGAAGCAGGAAAGUGCCGUAUGUUGCUGCUCCUCCUAAAGUUGUCCUGAUUUGUUCCCUUCUCGUGUCAGAACAACUACAAGCAGGGCGUGUCGUGAGGAAGUGGAGCGGAGUGUGGCUGUAUAUUGUAGUAUUCUCAGGAAUACUCGGCAAGGAACACUAGAAGAGACUGUGGUAAGACAUGGCCAUGUGUAUGUGCAAAGGAGAGAGAUAAGGAGUACACAGAGAAGAGGAAGACGAGAGGUGGUUAAUGCAUACAAUACAGGAAGAUGCAAAAGUAAUGUGUGUAGAUGUAGAAGAUGGAGCAAGGUGGAUGGCUAAUUAGCUGCAAUGACACCUAAUGUGAACAGCCCAGAGUAGGGAGACACAGACAGUCAAGGUGAGGUCAGAUGAUGGUGUUUUGUCUGGGGAGACAAUGCAACACAUCAAUAGUAGCUUAAGCCACAAACAAACAAGUGGAGAGAGGUGGACAGAACAGAGAUGAGAGAAAGAAGAAAGUCUUGUGCAGCAAAGCCAGAAAAGGAGGGGAGGCAUGCAGUUAGCAGCAAGAUCAGAAGACCAGUCAGCAUGAAAAUAGCAG